rnacentral:tRNA from 1 species
UUUAAUAUGGCAGAAAUUUAGUGCAUUGGACUUAAAUCCCAAAUAUAAAGAUAUUCUUUUAUUAAAA